rnacentral:rRNA from 1 species
GGUCCGGGCACCUCAACAGCUAAAACCUGACGCACAACGCCGCGUGAGUGAUGAAGGCCCUCGGGUCGUAAAGCUCUGUCAGAGGGGAAGAACCUCCAAUCGGGUAAUAUCCGGUUGGCCUGACGGUACCCUCAAAGGAAGCACCGGCUAACUCCGUGCCAGCAGCCGCGGUAAUACGGAGGGUGCAAGCGUUGUUCGGAAUUAUUGGGCGUAAAGCGCGUGUAGGCGGUCAUUUAAGUCUGAUGUGAAAGCCCUGGGCUCAACCCGGGAAGUGCAUUGGAAACUGGAUGACUUGAGUACGGGAGAGGGUAGUGGAAUUCCGAGUGUAGGGGUGAAAUCCGUAGAUAUUCGGAGGAACACCGGUGGCGAAGGCGGCUACCUGGACCGAUACUGACGCUGAGACGCGAAAGCGUGGGGAGCAAACAGGAUUAGAUACCCUGGUAUCCACGCCGUAAAACGAU